CUUCAGGUGGCUGAGGAAAAGCGACAGAUUUUUAAUUUGUUUACGAUAAAGUAUUUAUCUCUGGAGG
rnacentral:tRNA from 1 species